UACGUAGGGGGCAAGCGUUGUCCGGAAUCAUUGGGCGUAAAGAGCGUGUAGGCGGCCCGAUAAGUCCGCUGUGAAAGUCCAGGGCUCAACCCCGGGAGGCGGGUGGAUACUGCUGAGCUCGAGUCCGGAAGAGGCGAGUGGAAUUCCUGGUGUAGCGGUGAAAUGCGCAGAUAUCAGGAGGAACACCAAUGGCGAAGGCAGCUCGCUGGGACGGUACUGACGCUGAGACGCGAAAGCGUGGGGAGCAAACAGG
rnacentral:rRNA from 1 species